ACGCUCGACACCUAGGCAGCAGUGAGGAAUAUUGGUCAAUGGACGCAAGUCUGAACCAGCCAUGCCGCGUGCAGGAUGACGGCUCUAUGAGUUGUAAACUGCUUUUGUACGAGGGUAAACGCAGAUACGUGUAUCUGUCUGAAAGUAUCGUACGAAUAAGGAUCGGCUAACUCCGUGCCUGCAGCCGCGGUAAUCUGAGCGGGCUGGCAAGGC
rnacentral:rRNA from 1 species